rnacentral:misc_RNA from 1 species
CAUUUAUUAGCCAAUUUCUGAUCAUGCAAAGGUGUCCAUUUGAGAUUAUAGCUGAUCCCAAUAGCUGAACCAUAUAAUUUAGACAAAACAGUAACUAAAUGCACUUCAGAAAUAAGAUUUUCCUUUUUUUUUUUUUCCUAUUAUGUUAUAUUCUACAAUAUACAGAACUCAUAAAAAUACAAAUUUCGCCAAAUUAUUAAAGAAUUUAUAGUGGAGGAACUUCUCACUUAUCAAUAAUGACGGUCAUCUGAAAGGUUCAACUGGU